rnacentral:rRNA from 1 species
GACGUAGGAGGCGAGCGUUGUCCGGAGUUACUGGGCGUAAAGCGCGCGCAGGCGGCCCUGUGCGCUGCCGGUGAAAGCUCCCGGCUUACCUGGGAGAGGUUCGGCAGGACGGCAGGGCUGGAGGGUGGGGAGAGGUCGGUGGAAUUCCCGGUGUAGUGGUGAAAUGCGUAGAGAUCGGGAGGAACACCCGUAGCGAAGGCGGCCGACUGGACCACACCUGACGCUGAGGCGCGAAGGCCAGGGGGAGCGAACGGG